rnacentral:lncRNA from 1 species
CUCAGCCAAUCAUAUCUCACCACACUGUCACUGUGCCCCAAUGAAAGCUGUGCCUGAUGAGGUAACUCAGAAGGAACUGGGCCGUUAGGACUUCCGGGGUAAGCAGUUCCUUCCUGCUGUCUCACGGGUGUUCUGGGAGACAUCUUAGAUCUAAUGAGGACGCUUCGAGGAGUCGCAGGAGCUUGUGGCGAGCUUGUGGCGCCUCGCUCUCCAUCCCACACUUUCCUUCAUGAGGUUGAUCUCCACACCCCCGCACCAUUCUGACCUGUGCUGUCUGGAGGAUGGCUCAUACAGGGGCUGGAAGUCGGCAAAGAGUUCCCAGAUGUGCAGGUAGAGGGCAGCCUCCCCAGCUCUCACCUUCUUCAGCAGCCUUCUAGAUUUAUCAGGAAUAUUAAAGCACGCGGCUUCUGCAAGCCAUCAGCUUCUUUUGCUUCCUCAGAGAGAGGCUGCCCAUGGACAAGCUGCAGUAAGCUUUAAGGGGAAGGCUUUGGCAUCCACAUUAUUCCUGCCUGGAAGCUGACUUGAAAACAGGAAGCUCAGAGCUUCACAUGAAGAAUGAUGGGACAGAAAGACACAGAGGACCUGACAGCACCAACCAGUAACUGUGCCAGCCCCCGGCUGUUGGCCCGCGCACUUCUCAUUAUUUGAGAAAAAUGAAGUCGGGCUCAGCAGCUUAAGUCUCUUAUAGUUGAAUUUGCUGUUGUCUGUAACAAAACUUGUUCUUAAAUUAUACAAG